GAUGAACGCUGGCGGCGUGCCUAAUACAUGCAAGUCGAGCGAACAGACGAGGAGCUUGCUCCUCUGACGUUAGCGGCGGACGGGUGAGUAACACGUGGAUAACCUCCCUAUAAGACUGGGAUAACUUCGGGAAACCGGAGCUAAUACCGGAUAAUAUAUUGAACCGCAUGGUUCAAUAGUGAAAGACGGUUUUGCUGUCACGUAUAGAUGGAUCCGCGCCGCAUUAGCUAGUUGAUAAGGUAACGGCUUACCAAGGCGACGAGGCGUGGCCGACCUGAGAGAGGGAUCGGCCACACUGGAACUGAGACACGGUCCAGACUCCUACGGGAGGCAGCAGUAGGGAAUCUUCCGCAAUGGUCGAAAGCUUGACGGAGCAACGCCGCGUGAGUGAUGAAGGUCUUCGGAUCGUAAAGCUCUGUUAUUAGGGAAGAACAAAUGUGUAAGUAACUAUGCACGUCUUGACGGUACCUAAUCAAAAAGCCACGGCUAACUACGUG
rnacentral:rRNA from 1 species